rnacentral:rRNA from 1 species
UGGGGGAUAUUGCACAAUGGGCGCAAGCCUGAUGCAGCGACGCCGCGUGGGGGAUGAAGGCCUUCGGGUUGUAAACUUCUUUUGCUCUGAACAAGGCGCACUUUGGGGUGUGUUGAGUGUAGGGGUUGAUUAGCGCCGGCUAACUACGUGCCAGCAGCCGCGGUAAUACGUAGGGCGCGAGCGUUGUCCGGAAUUAUUGGGCGUAAAGGGCUUGUAGGUGGCUGGUUGCGUCUGUCGUGAAAGCUCAUGGCUUAACUGUGGGUUCGCGGUGGGUACGGGCUGGCUUGAGUGCAGUAGGGGAGGCUGGAAUUCCUGGUGUAGCGGUGGAAUGCGCAGAUAUCAGGAGGAAUACCGGUGGCGAAGGCGGGUCUCUGGGCUGUUACUGACACUGAGGAGCGAAAGCAUGGGGAGCGAACAGG